UACGUAGGGGGGCUAGCGUUGUCCGGAAUCAUUGGGCGUAAAGCGCGUGUAGGCGGCCCGGUAAGUCCGCUGUGAAAGUCGGGGGCUCAACCCUCGGAUGCCGGUGGAUACUGUCGGGCUCGAGUACGGAAGAGGCGAGUGGAAUUCCGUGGUGUAGCGGUGAAAUGCGCAGAUAUCAGGAGGAACACCAAUUGCGAAGGCAGCUCGCUGGGACGUUACUGACGCUGAGACGCGAAAGCGUGGGGAGCAAACAGG
rnacentral:rRNA from 1 species